rnacentral:rRNA from 1 species
UGAGGGAAUAUUGGGUCAAUGGACGGGAGUCUGAACCAGCCAAGUAGCGUGCAGGAUGACGGCCCUAUGGGUUGUAAACUGCUUUUGUGCGGGGAUAAAGUGUGGGACGCGUCCCAUAUUGCAGGUACCGCAUGAAUAAGGACCGGCUAAUUCCGUGCCAGCAGCCGCGGUAAUACGGAAGGUCCAGGCGUUAUCCGGAUUUAUUGGGUUUAAAGGGAGCGUAGGCCGCCCCUUAAGCGUGUUGUGAAAUGUAGUGGCUCAACCUCUGCACUGCAGCGCGAACUGGUCUUCUUGAGUACGCACAACGUGGGCGGAAUUCGUGGUGUAGCGGUGAAAUGCUUAGAUAUCACGAAGAACUCCGAUUGCGAAGGCAGCUCAC